AUGAAGCCUAGCGAUUGUAAAUUUAGUGGCGGACGGGUGAGUAACGUGUGAGUAACCUGCCUUUGAGAGGGGGAUAACACACCGAAAGGUGUGCUAAUACCGCAUAACAUAUGUUUUUCGCAUGGAGAGCAUAUCAAAGAUUUAUCGCUCAAAGAUGGACUCGCAUCCAAUUAGAUAGUUGGCGGGGUAACGGCCCACCAAGUCGACGAUUGGUAGCCGAACUGAGAGGUUGAUCGGCCACAUUGGGACUGAGACACGGCCCAGACUCC
rnacentral:rRNA from 1 species